ACCCAGAUGAGCAAAGAGUAGGAAAGAAGAUUUCCUCUCGUCAGUAUACAUACUUCAGGAUUGCUCUGUGUGUGUAGAGGGAAAACAACAGUUACAUGCUUUCUCAGAAAUGAAGAUUGGCCUCUUUACACUGGAAGACCUUUGCCAGUGGUGCAUUCAUUUCAGAGCACUUCCACCUUCUUUGUACAAGCUUGAUGAAAAAAUCAACUCAGCAUGGAUGAAUGCCAAACCACAUUUCUGGGGGGACAAAAAUAACACAAGGAUCAUUUUCUGAAGUACUUCCUGCAAGAGCCUGACUAGCAGUUGAUAACACCACCUAACCUGAAUGAGAACAGCCUUGGGGCUGUACCGUCAGAAAGAAAAAUGCACCAUCUGGAGAUGUGUGCGUGGGAGGCACCAGCUUCAGCAACCUUCAUCAAGCAACCGUGGGCUUGCUGCUUGCAACCUGCCACUCUUUUUGAAGGGCCCUUCACAUAACCAGAUGAUGUGGGACUGCAGCCACAAAAAACUGCUCAGCUGCCCACCCCAUCUUACACUUCCCCAGUGAUCCUGCCACUGCUGCCCCUUGCACCUGAGAGUGCAUCUCACUCAUGAGCAAGCCACAGCCAUAGACCACAUGCAUGUGGCUAUGCUGUUGCAACUGCUGUCAUGCAUCCCCCAUUCCCUGGUGACCACAAAAAUCAGUUGUUCUCCAUGGCAAAGGAUGUGCUGCUGCUUAUGUGCUGAUGGCAUGGGGCUGGAGUGCAGAAUCUCUCCUGGCCUGGGUUAUACAAAGUGGUUACACAAAUAAGUCCUGCCCAAAAUAAUCCACACCAAAUCUUUUCCCUAAAAGAGGAUCUACUGCAAAUACUCUUGUGUGCUAACAGUAUAUGUUAUGCUACAUCUUGUAUUUCCAAUAGGCUCCUAGGAUGUGGUCCUGUGUGUCAGUUCUUAGCAGAACACAUGCUUUCAAAUACAUUUCCAGAGGAUGGGAAAUGUCUGUUUAAAUAAAAUAAAAUAAAUAAAUAAAAUAAAUAAAUAGAAUAAAUAAAAUAAAAAUCCUCUCUGAUUUGGAAAAAAUACAAGUGAAAGUAUUGCAGAGCUAUCUUUCACUGAUAUGCUUAAUAAAUCUGAAUGUGGUUUCCACAGACAUUUAAGCCUACUUAUAUUUUGUAUUAAUACAAUUUAGACUGUCACUUCUAAUUUAUUGGCUUAACAAGAAGUAGACUGCAAAGGUGCAAAGGUCAUCUUAAAUGAUUUAAAAUCAAGUAUUGACAAAUUUUCUCUAUCAUAUUAACUACCUCAUACAUCAGAACUGCUUUUAACUGCUUUCACAAAACCACAACUUAGAGAGUUUUCUAAAAGAGUAAAAUCUGCCAAACUGAAGCAAGUUUCCUCAUCACUGAUGCCACCUUUCUUUCUGAUUUAUGGAAAUGCUGUGCUGUUAAUCUUGCUCAAAAUUAAUCAAAUUGGAAAAAUAAAAUUGUUGUUCUCUCCAUACUAUCAAUGGAAAAUGUUUAUGACUAUGAAGCAAAAUGCAAGAAGACCAAAGCGCAGCAAUAAAGGACAUUUUCAACA